rnacentral:misc_RNA from 1 species
GAUGAAGAACGCAGCAAAAUGCGAUAAGUAAUGUGAAUUGCAGAAUUCAGUGAAUCAUCGAAUCUUUGAGCGCACAUUGCGCCCGCCAGUAUUCUGGCGGGCAUGCCUGUUCGAGCGUCAUUUCAACCCUCAAGCACAGCUUGGUGUUGGGACUCGCGUUAAUUCGCGUUCCUCAAAUUGAUUGGCGGUCACGUCGAGCUUCCAUAGCGUAGUAGUAAAACCCUCGUUACUGGUAAUCGUCGCGGCCACGCCGUUAAACCCCAACUUCUGAAUGUUGACCUCGGAUCAGGUAGGAAUACCCGCUGAACUUAAGCAUAUCAAUAAGCGGAGGA